AUCUACAGCUAUAUCACCCUGAACACACCUGAUCUCCUCUGAUCUCAGAAGCUAAGCAAGGUUGGGUCUGACUAAUACUUGAAUGGGAGAAACAUUCCUGAAAUAUAAUGGAGCUAUGUGUU
ensembl:rRNA 5S_rRNA 5S ribosomal RNA